AUGUGUGAGCCGCUCGACGCCACGAUGUCUUCCGCUUUGUGCGGGUACGGGUGCGUCGAUUUCCUCUUCGGCCACGGCGGGGGGAUCUGGAUUACUGCCACCGCCAUGGAGGCCGUGGCGUCCGAGCCGCCGCUGCUCCCCGACGACUCUCUGGUGACCUGUAGAGCACGAGGCAAAUCAAGAGUCAGGAAAAUCCACGACGCUCGUUGGUGUCGACCACUUCGAGAGCGUCGGCGACGACCGAAUCGGAGCCUGGCGACGAAGAUGAAAUGGCAGAGGCCACCAUUGGGCAGUGGAUUGAGGCAAGGAUGA
rnacentral:rRNA from 1 species